CCUACGGGAGGCUGCAGUGGGGAAUAUUGGACAAUGGGGGAAACCCUGAUCCAGCGACGCCGCGUGAGUGAAGAAGUAUUUCGGUACGUAAAGCUCUAUCAGCAGGAAAGAAAAUGACGGUACCUGACUAAGAAGCCCCGGCUAACUACGUGCCAGCAGCCGCGGUAAUACGGAGGGGGCAAGCGUUAACCGGAUUUACUGGGUGUAAAGGGAGCGUAGACGGCAUCGCAAGUCUGGCGUGAAAUGCCGGGGCCCAACCCCGGAACUGCUCUGGAAACUGUGAAGCUAGAGUGUAGGAGAGGUAAGCGGAAUGCGUGGUGUAGCGGUGAAAUGCGUAGAUAUCACGAGGAACACCGACGGCGAAGGCGGCUUACUGGACCAUAACUGACGUUGAGGCUCGAAAGCGUGGGGAGCAAACAGGAUUAGAUACCCGGGUAGUC
rnacentral:rRNA from 1 species